rnacentral:rRNA from 1 species
GAUGAAUGCUGGCGGCGCGCCUAACACAUGCAAGUCGAGCGGAAAGGCCCUUCGGGGUACUCGAGCGGCGGACGGCUGAGUAACGCGCGGGAACAUGCCCCAAAGUGAGGAAUAACUGCCCGAAAGGGUAGCUAAUGCCGCAUAUGAUCUUCGGAUUAAAGGAUUUAUCCGCUUUGGGAGUGGCCCGCGUACGAUUAGGUAGUUGGUGAGGUAAAGGCUCACCAAGCCUACGAUCGUUAACUGGUCUGAGAGGAUGAUCAGUCAGACUGGAACUGAGCAACGGUCCAGACUCCUACGGGAGGCAGCAGUGAGGAAUCUUCCACAAUGGGCGAAAGCCUGAUGGAGCGACGCCGCGUGCAGGAUGAAGGCCUUCGGGUUGUAAACUGCUUUUAUAAGUGAAGAAUAUGACGGUAACUUAUGAAUAAGCACCGGCUAACUACGUGCCAGCCGCCGCUGUA